CGUUAUAAUUUUUUUUCUGUAAUCUUUUUCACCUGAAAAAUUAGUUUUACCAUAUCAUAACUACGCAUCACUUCCCCUUUCAACCCCUUCAGCAGUUCCUUAGCCAUCUGGUUAAAUCCAAACCGCUCAACCUAUUUAAGACCUCUCUCCCAGUCUCCACCCCUGAAUACUUGCUUCCCCAGCACGGGAAAGUCAUGUUUGCGGACUUCAUCCGACCUUGAAUAUUGUCUUUUCAGCCCCCUGACUGUGUAUGCUUUCCCUACAAACCGUUAUCCUUCCUCUAAGCCCCUCCCACUGGAAGGCUUACUCCCUGCCCCACAGCACAGGGGUUUCACUUUCAGUUCCUGUAUCUAGGCACUUUGUGUUUCAUCAAACCACAAGCUUCCCAGCUACUGGCACUGUUCUGAGAAGAGGGUGAAACUUCAGGUGGAGUCAAGUGGAUGGAAGCCUGGCUUUGAAGGUUGAGAGGACGCUCCUGCAUCGGUCCGCCUUCCAGCACUUCGCCGACCUUCUCUUUUCACGACUUCAUGGAAAGAAAUGCUUCUUGCCACUCCUGCUGACUCGUGCCAAUUUGGUGGAGCCUUGAGGUUUCUUCUGGAUUGAGCCGCUGCUCCUGAUUUGUGCUUGGUGCUUUGGACCAGACUGCUGAUAUCCUGACAAUGGAGACUGGAAUUGCCCCCAAAGAACUAUCUCUAAACAGGCCCACAUCCCCCAUUUCCUAUCAUCCUUUCUUUUCCCCCUACCACUGGUUGGUGUGCUAGCAGGGAGGUUGAAGUGUUUAAGAAGGCUUAUUAAAAAUACAUUUUAAAAGUU
rnacentral:sRNA from 1 species